rnacentral:rRNA from 1 species
UACGUAGGGUGCGAGCGUUGUCCGGAAUUAUUGGGCGUAAAAGAGCUUGUAGGUGGUUUGUCGCGUCUGCUGUGAAAAUCCGAGGCUCAACCUCGGACUUGCAGUGGGUACGGGCAGACUAGAGUGUGGUAGGGGGAGACUGGAAUUCCUGGUGUAGCGGUGGAAAUGCGCAGAUAUCAGGGAGGAACACCGAUGGCGAA